rnacentral:rRNA from 1 species
GUGAGUCGCGAACGGCUGAGUAACACGUAAGAACUUACCCCUUGGCGGGGGAUACCUAUCUGAAAGGGUAGUUAAUACCGCAUAAGAUCCACGGAUGAAAGGAUGUAACUAUCCACCGAGGGAAAGGCUUGCGGCCCAUCAGCUUGUUGGUAGGGUAAUGGCCUACCAAGGCAACGACGGGUAGGGGGCUUGAGAGAGUGUUCCCCCAGAAUGGUACUGAGAACGGACCAUACACCUACGGGUGGCAGCAACCGGGAAUUGUGCGCAAUGGACGAAAGUCUGACGCCGCGACGCCGCGUGGAGGAUGAAGGCCUUAGGGUCGUAAACUUCUUUUGCCGUUUGGGAGACCAAACGGAGAAUAAGCACCCGCUAACUACGUGCCAGCAGCUGCGGUGAUACGUAGGGUGCAAGCGUUGUCCGGAUUUAUUGGGCGUAAAGAGUUUGUAGGCUUUUCUUUAAGUUAUUUUUCAAAUACCAGAGCUCAACUUUGGAAAGGGGAAUAAUACUGGAGAAAUUGAAGAAUGUAGGGGUUACUGGAACUUAACAUGUAAGAGUGAAAUCCGUUGAUAUGUUAAGGAACACCAAGGGCGAAGGCAGGUAACUGGACAUUUCUUGACGCUGAGAAAUGAAAGCUAGGGUAGCGAAAGGGAUUAGAGACCCCCGUAGUCCUAGCCGUAAACGAUGCUCGCUA